rnacentral:rRNA from 1 species
UACGUGAAAUUGUCGAAAGGGAAGCGCUUGAAGUCAGCCAUGCUGCUUGAGACUCAGCCUUGCUUUUGCUUGGUGUAUUUCUCGGUAGCAAGCCAGCAUUGGUUUGAGUCGUCGGAGAAGGGUAUGAGAAAUGUGGCAUCCUCGGAUGUGUUAUAGACUUGUACUGGAUACGACGAUUUGGAUCAAGGGAACGCAGUGUGCCUCUGGCGG